ACAGCCCCGUACACAAAAGCGCAUGUGCUGUGAGCUCGAUGAGUAGGGCGGGACACGUGGUAUCCUGUCUGAAUAUGGGGGGACCAUCCUCCAAGGCUAAAUACUCCUGACUGACCGAUAGUGAACCAGUACCGUGAGGGAAAGGCGAAAAGAACCCCGGCGAGGGGAGUGAAAAAGAACCUGAAACCGUGUACGUACAAGCAGUGGGAGCACCCUUUGGGGUGUGACUGCGUACCUUUUGUAUAAUGGGUCAGCGACUUAUAUUCUGUAGCAAGGUUAACCGUAUAGGGGAGCCGUAGGGAAACCGAGUCUUAACCGGGCGUUAAGUUGCAGGGUAUAGACCCGAAACCCGGUGAUCUAGCCAUGGGCAGGUUGAAGGUUGGGUAACACUAACUGGAGGACCGAACCGACUAAUGUUGAAAAAUUAGCGGAUGACCUGUGGCUGGGGGUGAAAGGCCAAUCAAACCGGGAGAUAGCUGGUUCUCCCCGAAAGCUAUUUAGGUAGCGCCUCGUGAAUUCAUCUCCGGGGGUAGAGCACUGUUUCGGCUAGGGGGCCAUCCCGGCUUACCAACCCGAUGCAAACUGCGAAUACCGGAGAAUGUUAUCACGGGAGACACACGGCGGGUGCUAACGUCCGUCGUGAAGAGGGAAACAACCCAGACCGCCAGCUAAGGUCCCAAAGUCAUGGUUAAGUGGGAAACGAUGUGGGAAGGCCCAGACAGCCAGGAUGUUGGCUUAGAAGCAGCCAUCAUUUAAAGAAAGCGUAAUAGCUCACUGGUCGAGUCGGCCUGCGCGGAAGAUGUAACGGGGCUAAACCAU
rnacentral:rRNA from 1 species